AUCAACGCUGGCGGCGCGCUUAACACAUGCAAGUCGCACGAGAAAGCAGGAGCAAUCUUGUGAGUACAGUGGCGUACGGGUGAGUAACACGUGGAUGAUCUACCUCAUAGUGGGGAAUACCCCCGGGAAACUGGGGACAAUACCGCAUAAGCUGUCUUUUUCAAUUAAGACAGGAAAGCAGCAAUGCGCUGUGAGAGGAGUCCGCGGCUGAUUAGCUAGAUGGCGGGGUAACGGCCCACCAUGGCGAAGAUCGGUAGCCGGCCUGAGAGGGCACACGGCCACACUGGCACUGAAACACGGGCCAGACUCCUACGGGAGGCAGCAGUGGGGAAUCUUGCACAAUGGCGGAAACUCUGAUGCAGCGACGCCGCGUGAGCGAUGAAGCCCUUCGGGGUGUAAAGCUCUUUCGACGGGAACGAUGAUGACGGUACCCGGAAGAAGAAGCUGCGGCUAACUACGUGCCAGCAGCCGCGGUAAUACGUAGGCAGCGAGCGUUGUUCGGAAUUACUGGGCGUAAAGAGUGUGUAGGCGGUGCUCUCAGUCUGUUGUGAAAUCUCCCGGCUUAACUGGGAGGGUGCAGGCGGAAACUAGGAGUGCUAGAGGAUGGGAGAGGUAAGCGGAAUUCCUGGUGUAGCGGUGAAAUGCGUAGAUAUCAGGAGGAACACCUGUGGUGUAGACAGCUUACUGGACCACUUCUGACGCUGAGACACGAAAGCGUGGGUAGCAAACAGGAUUAGAUACCCUGGUAGUCCACGCCCUAAACGAUGCAUACUUGGUGUGAGCGAUUCAUUUCGUUCGUGCCGGAGCUAACGCGUUAAGUAUGCCGCCUGGGGAGUACGGUCGCGAGGCUGAAACUCAAAGGAAUUGACGGGGGCCCGCACAAGCGGUGGAGCAUGUGGUUCAAUUCGACGCAACGCGAAGAACCUACCUGGGCUCGAAAGGCUAUGGACAAUCCUGUGAAACAGGAUCUUCCUCGCAAGGGACCUGUAGUAGAGGUGCUGCAUGGCUGUCGUCAGCUCGUGUCGUGAGAUGUUGGGUUAAGUCCCGCAACGAGCGCAACCCCUGUCCUGUGUUGCCACUCCCUUAGUGGAGCACUCUCAGGAGACCGCCAGCGAUAAGUUGGAGGAAGGUGGGGAUGAUGUCAAGUCAUCAUGGCCUUUAUGUCCAGGGCUACACACGUGCUACAAUGGCGGUACAAAGCGCUGCAAACUCGCAAGAGGGGAGCCUAAUCGCAAAAAACCGGCUCUCAGUUCGGAUCGCAGGCUGCAACUCGCCUGCGUGAAGCUGGAAUCGCUAGUAAUGGCGUAUCAGAACGAUGCCGUGAAUACGUUCCCGGGCCUUGUACACGCCGCCCGUCACAUCACGAAAGUGGAUUGUACUAGAAGUCCUAAUCAAACAGGCCCAAGGUAUGAUUCAUGAUUGGGGUG
rnacentral:rRNA from 1 species